rnacentral:rRNA from 1 species
AUUGAACGCUGGCGGCAGGCCUAACACAUGCAAGUCGAGCGGAUGAAGGGAGCUUGCUCCUGGAUUCAGCGGCGGACGGGUGAGUAAUGCCUAGGAAUCUGCCUGGUAGUUGGGGAUAACGUCCGGAAACGGGCGCUAAUACCGCAUACGUCCUGAGGUAGAAAGUGGGGGAUCUUCGGACCUCACGCUAUCAGAUGAGCCUAGGUCGGAUUAGCUAGUUGGUGGGGUAAAGGCCUACCAAGGCGACGAUCCGUAACUGGUCUGAGAGGAUGAUCAGUCACACUGGAACUGAGACACGGUCCAGACUCCUACGGGAGGCAGCAGUGGGGAAUAUUGGACAAUGGGCGAAAGCCUGAUCCAGCCAUGCCGCGUGUGUGAAGAAGGUCUUCGGAUUGUAAAGCACUUUAAGUUGGGAGGAAGGGCAGUAAGUUAAUACCUUGCUGUUUUGACGUUACCAACAGAAUAAGCACCGGCUAACUUCGUG